AGUGAACGCUGGCGGUAGGCCUAACACAUGCAAGUCGAACGGCAGCACAGUAAGAGCUUGCUCUUACGGGUGGCGAGUGGCGGACGGGUGAGGAAUACAUCGGCAUCUACUUUUUCGUGGGGGAUAACGUAGAGACACUUACGCUAAUACCGCAUACGACCUACGGGUGAAAGCAGGGGAUCUUCGGACCUUGCGCGAUUGAAUGAGCCGAUGUCGGAUUAGCUAGUUGGCGGGGUAAAGGCCCACCAAGGCGACGAUCCGUAGCUGGUCUGAGAGGAUGAUCAGCCACACUGGAACUGAGACACGGUCCAGACUCCUACGGGAGGCAGCAGUGGGGAAUAUUGGACAAUGGGCGCAAGCCUGAUCCAGCCAUACCGCGUGGGUGAAGAAGGCCUUCGGGUUGUAAAGCCCUUUUGUUGGGAAAGAAAAGCAGCAGGUUAAUACCCCGCUGUUCUGACGGUACCCAAAGAAUAAGCACCGGCUAACUUCGUG
rnacentral:rRNA from 1 species